CCUACGGGAGGCAGCAGUAGGGAAUCUUCCACAAUGGGCGCAAGCCUGAUGGAGCAACACCGCGUGAGUGAAGAAGGGUUUCGGCUCGUAAAGCUCUGUUGUUGGAGAAGAACGUGCGUGAGAGUAACUGUUCACGCAGUGACGGUAUCCAACCAGACAGUCACGGCUAACUACGUGCCAGCAGCCGCGGUAAUACGUAGGGGGCAAGCGUUAUCCGGAGUUAUUGGGCGUAAAGCGAGCGCAGGCGGUUGGUUAGGUCUGAUGUGAAAGCCUUCGGCUUAACCGAGGAAGUGCAUCGGAAACCGGGCGACUUGGGGGCGGAAGAGGACAGUGGAACUCCAGGUGUGGCGGUGGAAUGGGUAGAUAUAUGGAGGAACACCGGUGGCGAAGGCGGCUGUCUGGUCUGCAACUGACG
rnacentral:rRNA from 1 species